GACGAACGCUGGCGGCGUGCUUAACACAUGCAAGUCGAGCGGUAAGGCCUUUCGGGGUACACGAGCGGCGAACGGGUGAGUAACACGUGGGUGACCUGCCUUUAGCUUCGGGAUAAGCCUGGGAAACCGGGUCUAAUACCGGAUAUGACCUCAUGUCGCAUGGUGUGGGGUGGAAAGUUCUUCGGCUAGAGAUGGGCCUGCGGCCUAUCAGCUUGUUGGUGGGGUGGAUGGCCUACCAAGGCGACGACGGGUAGCCGGCCUGAGAGGGCGACCGGCC
rnacentral:rRNA from 1 species